rnacentral:rRNA from 1 species
AUUGAACGCUGGCGGCAUGCCUUACACAUGCAAGUCGAACGGCAGCGGGGGAGAAGCUUGCUUUUCCUGCCGGCGAGUGGCGAACGGGUGAGUAAUACAUCGGAACGUGCCCUGUAGUGGGGGAUAACUAGUCGAAAGAUUAGCUAAUACCGCAUACGACCUGAGGGUGAAAGUGGGGGACCGCGAGGCCUCAUGCUAUAGGAGCGGCCGAUGUCUGAUUAGCUAGUUGGUGGGGUAAAGGCCUACCAAGGCGACGAUCAGUAGCUGGUCUGGGAGGAGGAGCAGCCACACUGGGACUGAGACACGGCCCAGACUCCUACGGGAGGCAGCAGUGGGGAAUUUUCGACAAUGGGCGAAAGCCUGAUCCAGCAAUGCCGCGUGUGUGAAGAAGGCCUUCGGGUUGUAAAGCACUUUUGUCCGGAAAGAAAUGGCUCUGGUUAAUACCUGGGGUCGAUGACGGUACCGGAAGAAUAAGGACCGGCUAACUACGUGCCAGCCGCCGCGGUAA